GGGCCGCGGAGCUCCAGGGGCGGGGCCGGGCGGGGCGAGCGCUCCAGGCCUCCUCCCGACCCUGCGCCGUGCCCAGCCCCUCUGCCCUCCUGUUACCCCGGGACCUCGGGCCGCCAGCCCCUUCCACGUGCAGGCUCCUGCUGCUCUCGCGGGGGCUUUUCGUGUGUCCCCCGAGAUGUCGAGGAAGCCAGGCUGCAGGUGCAUGGGGACCUUGAAGAACCCGUCCCCAUGGUCCGACGUCCACGUGUCUCAAGACCUGUCGCAUCCUCGCUGAAACUCAAGAACGUGAAACAGGUGAAGAGUCCAGCUCUCCCACGGGUGGCUGUGAUCCUUCUUCCUGGGGAGUCCUGCUGUCCCUGACUAGGGGCACCUGCCCACCUGUCAGCUGCUCCUCCCUCGGCUGGUCCUCCUGGGCUCUGAUGGCCCCAACAUUUCUAGCUCUUCUCACCCAUAGUGCCCCGAGCUUCAUGCAGCUGCAGCAGGUACUGUGCCCGUCUGCCUGGCUUUUGUGUGUUUGUCUUGACUCUAUAACCUGUGCACACGGACUGGGCUGUGGUGUAGUGGGGAUGGCAGGAGCCCUGGGAACACGCAGGCUGGGCAAGGUGAGGCAGGCUGAUUGCUGUGGCUCCCCCACCACCAGCCCCAGCCACAACAAACUGACAAAGGAAGAGGACAGUGGUGCCCUGGAGCCCUGGGGUCAGAGAGAGGAGGACAAAGCAGGUGUGUAGCCCAGGGAAUGACAGCACCCCUUCCGAGAAGACAGGGAAGGUGCAGACAUGGCCAGGUUCUGAGCUAGAAAACUGUCGGCAGGGGGCUGAAGCUGAGGAUAGUCAUUGCCAAGGAACAGCCUCUGUCACAGAGGAGACGCACAGAUGCGGUGAUGAGGGAGGGAUGAGGGGCUGGUGACCGCUGGGAACAGAUGUGUGAGGCAGAGUCUCCAGGCACGGUCUGCGGGGCAGUUUGAUGAUACUAGGACAUCUCUCAGAGUAGAAGGACGUCCCGACCUGCAGACUGGAAAGCCCCCAGAGCUCCCGGCAGGACGUAUGAGGGCCAGCCCAUACCCGGGUCUGUCCUGAUACAACCGAACCGCCACAGUGUCUUAGCUCCUUUACUGUUGCUAUCAAGAAAUACCUGAGGCUGGGAAAUGUAUGAAGAAUCAUGAGGUAAUUUGUAUAUUUGUCCACACUAAACCUCAUGUUGAAUUGUAAACCCCAAGGCUGGAGGUGGCUGGGUCGUGGGGGGUGGAUUUCUCAGGAAUGUUUAGCACCCUCCCCUUGGUGCUGUCCUUGAGAUAGUGAGUUCUCCUGAGAUCUGAUUAUUUAAAAAGUGUGGGGCACCUCUCUCUCUCGCUCACUCGCUCGCUCGCUCGCUCCUGCUCUGGCCAUGUGACGUGCCCGCUCCCCCAUUGCCUUUCACCAUGAUCGGAAGCUUCCAGAGGCCUCCCCAGAAGCUGAGCAGAGGCCAGCACCAUGCCUCCUGUAAAGCCUGCAGAACCAGGAGCCAAGGAAACCUCUUUUCAUUAUUUAUUUAUUUAUUUAUUUAUUUAUUUAUUUAUUUUGACACAGGGUCUCGCUCUGUUGCCCAGGCUGGAGUGCAGUGGCGUGAUCUCGGCUCACUGCAACCUCUGCCUCCUGGGCUCAGGUGAUCCUCCCACCUCACCCUCCUGAGUAGCGGGGACUACAGGCACACGCCACCAUACCUGGCUAAUUUUUCAUAUUUUUUGUAGACUUGGGGUCUUACUGUUGCCCAGACUGGUCUCAAACUCCUGAGCUCAAGUGAUCCAUCCACCUUGGCCUUCCAGAGUGCUGGGAUCACAGGCAUGAGCUACCAUGCCUGGCCCUCUUUUCUUUUAAAAUUGCCCAGUCCUAAGUAUUUCUUUAUAGCAAGGCAACCACAGCCUAACACAGCUCAUGAUGCUGAGGUCUCAAAUGUUCAAGAUCGGGCAUCUGCCUCUGGUGAGGGCUUUGCUGCCGCUGCCUCCACUCAUGGCAGAAGGUAAAGGGCAGCUGGAGUGCGUGGAGACAGUGUGCGAGAGGGAGCCGGAGUGUGUGGAGACCGUGUGCAAGAGGGAGCUGGAGGAGUAGGGAAGUACGGGCCUUUUUUUUUUUAAGAUGGAGUCUCGCUCUGUUGCCCAGGCUGGAGCACAGUGGCGCAAUGCCGGCUCACUGCAACCUCCGCCUCCCGGGUUCAAGCGAUUCUCCUGCCUCAGCCUCCUGAGUAGCUGGGAUUAGAGGCAUGCGCCACUAUGCCCGGCUAAUUUUUGUAUUUUUGUAGAGACGGGGUUUCACCAUGUUGGUCAGGCUGAUCUUGAACUUCUGACCUCGUGAUCCGCCCACCUUGGCCUCCCAAAGUGCUGCAAUUAUAGGCGUGAGGCACCGCGCAGGUGUUUUUAAAAGCACCUCUUGCUGGAACUAGUAAGAGUGAAAACUCACUCAUUACCAAGAGGACAGCACCAAACCGUUCGUGAGGAAUCUGCCCCCAUGACCCAGACACCUCCAACACUGGGGCUCAGAUUUCAACCUGAGGUUUGAAGGGGACCAACACCCAAACUAUAGCAACAGGGAAAGAGGAAAGUUUACGGAUACCCAUUUAGAAAGAAUCUGCUAACAAAGGGAAAGAAUCAGGCUGGGCGCGGUGGUUUACGCCUGGAAUCCCAACACUUUGAGAGGCCAAGGUGGGUGGAUCACCUGAGGUCAGGAGUUUGAGAACAGCCUGGCCAGCAUGUGAAACCCUGUCUCUACUAAAAAUGCAAACAUUAGCCAGGCGUAGUGACGUGCGCCUGUAGUCCCAGCUACCCAGGAGGCCAGGCAAGAGAAUUGCUGGAGUCCAUGAGGCAGAGGUUGCAGUGAGCAGAGAUCCUGCCACUGCACUCCAGCCCAGGCAACAAGAGCGAGACUGUGUCUCAAAAACAAACAAACAACAACAACAACAAAAGGAAAGAAUCAGACUGGCUUGGGGCUCUGCUGUCCCCUGCCCGUGACCUCCCAAAAGCGUGUGUUAGAGACCUGACCUGCCUAGUGCGUCAGUGGAGGGGGCACUUUGGAGAGGGGCUUGGAUCGUGAGGCCCCGCCCUCGUGAAUGGCUCAGUGCCUUGUGAAAGGGCUUGAUGGAGGGAGUUUGGUCCCUUUUCCCCUUUUGUCUCUCUGCUGUGUGAGGACACCAUGUUCCUCCCCUCUGGAGGACGCCGUAACAAGCUGUCAUCUCGGGAGGAGACACCAGGCCCUGACCAGACGCUGAACAUGCCAGCACCUUCAUCUUGGACUUUCUUGGACUUUCCAGCCCCCAGAAUUGUGAGAAAUAAAUUUCUGUUGUUUAUAA